rnacentral:rRNA from 1 species
CACACAGAGAAACUCACCAGAAGCGACGGCAGGAUGAAGGUCAGGUUAAAGGCCUUACCUAACGAGCCGAGAGGUAGUGCAUGGCCGCCGUCAGCUCGUGCCGUAAGGUGUCCUGUUAAGUCAGGUAACGAGCGAGACCUGUGCUUACAAUUGCUAACAGCAAAAUUUUUGGACUGAGCACAUUGUAAGGACUGCCAUGGAAACGUGGAGGAAGGUGCAGGCAACGGUAGGUCUGUAUGGCCCGAAUCUUCUGGGCUACACGCGCGCAACAAUGGCAGGGACAAUGGGAUGCGACUCUGAAAGGAGAAGCCAACCCUCUAAAUCCUGUCUUAGUUCGGAUUGAGGAUUGUAACCCAUCCUCAUGACGCCGGAAUCCCUAGUAAUCGGACGUCAUCAGCGUCCGGUGAAUAAGUCAAUGUGCCUUGCACACACCGCCCGUCAUCCCAAUCGAGCAGGGUUUAGGUGAGGCUUAGCUUUAACUAAGUCGAACCUAAGCUCAGUGAGAAGGGGCAAGUCGUCACAAGGUAGCAGUAGGGGAACCUGCUGCUG